rnacentral:rRNA from 1 species
GAUUGAACGCUGGCGGCAGGCUUAACACAUGCAAGUCGAGCGGUAGAGAGAAGCUUGCUUUUCUUGAGAGCGGCGGACGGGUGAGUAAUGCCUAGGAAUCUGCCUGGUAGUGGGGGAUAACGUUCGGAAACGGACGCUAAUACCGCAUACGUCCUACGGGAGAAAGCAGGGGACCUUCGGGCCUUGCGCUAUCAGAUGAGCCUAGGUCGGAUUAGCUAGUUGGUGGGGUAAUGGCUCACCAAGGCGACGAUCCGUAACUGGUCUGAGAGGAUGAUCAGUCACACUGGAACUGAGACACGGUCCAGACUCCUACGGGAGGCAGCAGUGGGGAAUAUUGGACAAUGGGCGAAAGCCUGAUCCAGCCAUGCCGCGUGUGUGAAGAAGGUCUUCGGAUUGUAAAGUACUUUAAGUUGGGAGGAAGGGUUGUAGAUUAAUACUCUGCAA